rnacentral:rRNA from 1 species
GUCCACGCCCUAAACGGUGGGCACUAGGUGUAGGGCUCGUAAGGGUUCUGUGCCGCAGGGAAACCAUUAAGUGCCCCGCCUGGGAAGUACGGCCGCAAGGUUGAAACUCAAAGGAAUUGACGGGGCCCGCACAAGCGGUGGAGCAUGUGGUUUAAUUCGACGCAACGCGAAGAACCUUACCUGGGCUUGACAUGCUGGUAGUAAGGAGCCGAAAGGCCGAUGAUCCGUAGCAAUACGGGAGCCAGCACAGGUGCUGCAUGGCUGUCGU